rnacentral:lncRNA from 1 species
CGGCGCGCCCGUUACCGCUUGUCCCGAGCCGAGCGCGGGGGGUUCCCGGCAGCGGGGAGGGCUGGGGCGGGCGGCCAGCCCCGCGCUGGUCCGGCGGGGCCGAGGGGCUCACGUGGGGACCCGCCGCGGGCCGUCCUUGGCUGGGUCCUGGCGCACUUCGUAAAAGACAAAUAACCCGAGCAGGAGUCUGACGGGAGACUCCCGGGCUGAGGCGCCCUGUUCGGCGCGUAAGAAAACAAUAUUUGAUGAAGCAAACUCUGAGUGCUUGCAUGCUUACUCUCCAGAUGGGACCCACAGUCACUAGACUUCAUGUAAUCUGAAAAAACAGGAUUUUUUAUGUGAGUUCCAAGAAAAGGAGGUAUUUAAAAAUCCUUGGAGCCAAGGUUUGCUGCCUUCAGCAUGGAACAGCCUCUGCUGUUCCCGAACAAUGUAUGUUGUGGAGGCCGGAGAGAAGGGGAGAAGGGAAGAACUGCCAGCGGGCUAGACAAUGGUAGCAAUAAGACUGUGCAAGACUUGCCUUGCUGCAUAAAACCCCUGUGCAAGCUAGAGGAUGUCUGCAGAAUGGUUCCAGUUUCAGCCCAGGUAAAUGCUGAAGCAUCAAAGCAUUGUGCUGCUCUUGGACUGCAAUCACAGCACUGGGCCAGGAAGGACUUGGAGGAAAUCAUAUCCCCGUGCUUGUGUUUGACAUCCAGCAGCAGCUGGCAAUGGCAGGAGCAGCCACAGAAACAGUUGUAG